UACGUAGGUGACAAGCGUUGUCCGGAUUUACUGGGCGUAAAGAGCGCGCAGGCGGUCGAUCAAGUCGAGUGUGAAAGCCCCCGGCUCAACUGGGGAGGGUCAUUCGAUACUGAUCGACUCGAAGGCAGGAGAGGGUAGUGGAAUUCCCGGUGUAGUGGUGAAAUGCGCAGAUAUCAGGAGGAACACCGAUGGCGAAGGCAGGUCUCUGGGCUGUAACUGACGCUGAGGAGCGAAAGCAUGGGGAGCGAACAGG
rnacentral:rRNA from 1 species